rnacentral:lncRNA from 1 species
AAGAUUAGCGUAAGCCCCUCUUAUGGAGAUAAGUGUAAUAUUUUUCAUGAACGUCCUCCUAAAUUUAAGACUGACAUUCCAAGCCGUAAUUCUUUUAUAUAAAUCAACCAAAUUGUAAUCGCAAGAGAACCCGACGAUUGUUGCCCAGAAUUCUCGGCGAAAAUUGAGCUCGCAGCCGCGAACCCGAAUCGAAACCUCAGGACACACCUCGAACAACAACUUCGACUAUGCAGCAAUCGAACUUUGGUAAAAGGAGAUCAGAUUUAAAAGAUAAAAAUAUGAAGCGAUUGCAAAUUGAAUUUCUGGGCUGGUGCGUUCUUAUAUUAUCAUAAACAAACAAUUUUGGUCUUGUUUGAUUCCCCUUUCAACCGCGUCUAUCCCUUGGUAUUCUGGACUGAAAAUCGCCGGAAAAUACACGAGAAAUCGGAAAUGUUAGAUUCGGCCAAAUAUGGUUAAGGACUGGAGUUUAGGUGAUGUCCAUGGUUG